rnacentral:rRNA from 1 species
AUUCUUGGUCAUUUAGAGGAAGUAAAAGUCGUAACAAGGUUUCCGUAGGUGAACCUGCGGAAGGAUCAUUAACGAGAUGUUAGCAUUUGGGAAAAAAAAGGCUGUUGCUGGCUUAACUUGCACGUGCACGCUUCAACCAGAUGUUACUUGUCCUCUUCACACACCUGUGCACCAUCUGUAGCUGGGGGAUGAUCACGAGAUUGUCGAAUGCCCCUCGUUACGAAUUGUUUUUACAUCGCCUAAUAUAACAAAGUUUUUUUGGAACGUUUGGGAAAUCGGAAUGCAACUUUCAGCAACGGAUCUCUUGGCUCUCGCAUCGAUGAAGAACGCAGCGAAAUGCGAUAAGUAAUGUGAAUUGCAGAAUUCAGUGAAUCAUCGAAUCUUUGAACGCACCUUGCGCUCCUUGGUAUUCCGAGGAGCAUGCCUGUUUGAGUGUCAUGAAAUUCUCAACUGCUUUGGGCUUUAUUGUUCAAAGUGAAGUUGGAUGUGGAGUUUAUAUAUAUUGUCGGCUGUGGUUCGACUGCUCCAAAAAGCAUUGAAGCUCCUUCGUCGGCAGAAAGUAUCUUUGACGUGAUAAUCGUCUACGUCGUAGAGAAAGCCUUUGGGAGCUUUGUAACGAUUUUUUUGAGACUCGUUCGACCUCAAAUCAGGCAGGACUACCCGCUGAACUUAAGCAUAUCAAUAAGCGGAGGA